rnacentral:rRNA from 1 species
GAGUUUGAUCAUGGCUCAGAUCGAACGCUGGCGGCAUGCCUUACACAUGCAAGUCGAACGGCAGCAUGAUCUAGCUUGCUAGAUUGAUGGCGAGUGGCGAACGGGUGAGUAAUACAUCGGAACGUGCCCUGUAGUGGGGGAUAACUAGUCGAAAGAUUAGCUAAUACCGCAUACGACCUGAGGGUGAAAGUGGGGGACCGCAAGGCCUCAUGCUAUAGGAGCGGCCGAUGUCUGAUUAGCUAGUUGGUGGGGUAAAGGCCCACCAAGGCGACGAUCAGUAGCUGGUCUGAGAGGACGAUCAGCCACACUGGGACUGAGACACGGCCCAGGACUCCUACGGGAGGCAGCAGUGGGGAAUUUUGGACAAUGGCGAAAGCCUGAUCCAGCAAUGCCGCGUGUGUG